UUUUUCCACCCCUCCACCCCUUUCGAUUUAUUUCCUACUUUUCUCCCGCGUCUCUCUCACUUCCCCUCCUCCACGCUCACCCCCUCCCCAUUCCCGCCGGGUCUCCUUCGCUAGCCACCUUGCUCUCCCUGCCCUGCCACCGCUCACUGCUCACUCACCCACCUCCCCACCCUUGUCUCUUCACAGCUGGGAACUGCUGGCUCCGUCAAGCGAAGAACGGCCGCUGCCAGGUCCUGUACAAGACCGAACUGAGCAAGGAGGAGUGCUGCAGCACCGGCCGUCUGAGCACCUCGUGGACCGAGGAGGACGUGAAUGACAACACACUCUUCAAGUGGAUGAUUUUCAACGGGGGCGCCCCCAACUGCAUCCCCUGUAAAGAAACGUGUGAGAACGUGGACUGUGGACCUGGGAAAAAAUGCCGAAUGAACAAGAAGAACAAACCCCGCUGCGUCUGCGCCCCGGAUUGUUCCAACAUCACCUGGAAGGGUCCAGUCUGCGGGCUGGAUGGGAAAACCUACCGCAAUGAAUGUGCACUCCUAAAGGCAAGAUGUAAAGAGCAGCCAGAACUGGAAGUCCAGUACCAAGGCAGAUGUAAAAAGACUUGUCGGGAUGUUUUCUGUCCAGGCAGCUCCACAUGUGU
rnacentral:sRNA from 1 species